rnacentral:lncRNA from 1 species
AAUCGUAAAGCGAUUCAUGUAGGAAUCAUCCUAUUUGAGAUCGAUCAACAAGACUCUAUGCAUUUAAGCAGUUUUUAAAGUUAAAUUGAAUUUUUAACUCCAAAAUUGCAACACAUCUAUAAAAAAAUAAAAUAACAACCACGCGUUAUAAUUUUACUAACACAACCAUAUUACAAAAUUAUUAUGCACAAACAUCAUAAUCUAAAAGAAAAAAAAACUUAAACCAAUCAUCAUAAAAAUAAGACACCAUGGAGUGUGAAUAAAAAAGCUUAAUUCUAAUGUCACAAUUUAAACCCAAAAAUAAACAAAAUUGACUUACUAGUAAUAAUACAAAAAUACAAAUCAUAAAACUAAACUUACUAAUUAAAAAAAGAUAAUAGUAAAACAAACUAAAAAAGAUGAUAACAACUUACUUACUAAUAAUAUUUUAAAAAAUAUAAAUCAUAAAAUACAAAACAACUAAAAAAAGAUAAUAACAAUAAUUGACUUACUACUGAUAAUAAAAAAAUACAAAUCAUAAAGCACAAUUUACUAAUUAAAAAAAA